UCGGGGUGCCCAGGCGCGAAAACUUUACAAUGCGGGAAACCGUGAUAAGGGAACUCCGAGUGCCCGUAAAAUCGGGCUGUCCCUCUCUUUAAAUAACAAGUGAAGAAAGGGCCGGGCAAGACCGAUGCCUGCCGCCCCGCUAAUACCUGCCGCUCGAUUGGUGGCCACUAUAACUGAUCUUAACUCGUUCGUACCUAGCCUGUUAAGUCUCUGGGGAAAUCUACCGGCUUAACCAAUAGGCGUUUCACGGAUACAGACUAACUAGGUACCGACAGAGAUAAGGGGUACUCCCUGGGUAGGAAUGAAAUCCUGUAAUCCUUGGGGGACCACCUGUGGCGAAGGCGCCUCACCAAAACGGCUCCGACCGAGAGGGACGAAAGCUGGGGGAGCAAACCGGAUUAAAUACCCGGGUAGUCCCACCCAUAAACAAUGCACGUUAGGUGUAUCGGUGACCACUAGUCACCGAGGUGCCUAACAGAAAUCGUGAAACGUGCCGCCUGGUAAGUACGGUCGCAAGGCUGAAACUUAAAGGAAUUGGCGGGGGAGCAC
rnacentral:rRNA from 1 species